rnacentral:rRNA from 1 species
UACGGGGGGGGCAAGCGUUGUUCGGAAUUACUGGGCGGAAAGGGCUCGUAGGCGGCCAACUAAGUCGGACGUGAAAUCCCCAGGCUCAACCUGGGAACUGCGUCCGAUACUGGAUGGCUUGAAUCCGGGAGAGGGAUGCAGAAUUCCAGGUGUAGCGGUGAAAUGCGUAGAUAUCUGGAGGAAUACCGGUGGCGAAGGCGGCAUCCUGGACCGGCAUUGACGCUGAGGAGCGAAAGCCAGGGGAGCAAACGGC